UACGGAGGGUGCAAGCGUUAAUCGGAAUUACUGGGCGUAAAGCGUGCGUAGGCGGUUCGUUAAGUCUGUUGUGAAAGCCCCGGGCUCAACCUGGGAAUGGCAAUGGAUACUGGCGAGCUAGAGUGUGUCAGAGGAUGGUGGAAUUCCCGGUGUAGCGGUGAAAUGCGCAGAUAUCGGGAGGAACACCAAUUGCGAAGGCAGCUCGCUGGGACGGUACUGACGCUGAGGCGCGAAAGCGUGGGGAGCAAACAGG
rnacentral:rRNA from 1 species